GGGCCUGUAGCUCAGCAGGAUAGAGCAGCGGUUUCCUAAACCGAAGGUCGGGGGUUCGAAUCCCUCCAGGCCUACCA
rnacentral:tRNA from 2 species